UGAACUGCCGUAGACAGUAGGUGCUGAAAAGCGUAAGGAUAAAACGCCUGCCGAGGAAGAAUCGUGAAUUAGUAAAUUGACGUCUUAUUCCCUUGCUACGAAGUGAGGGGAUUUUUAUUUUUC
rnacentral:sRNA from 1 species